UAUUAUUAUUUGUUUAGUUUGAUUAUGAUUUUAGGAUGCUCACUGUGUUUUGGAUGGUGAUGGUGCUCACUCGGAUGGAAAGAACCUGAACCCGAACGGUGAUGGAGUCAACGAGACUCCACUGAAACUUGCACAAUGCAGUCACAUUUACUGAGAUGUCCAGAUGAUUACAGCUUCUAGAAGUAUUUGGUGAUGGCUCUAUGUUGGCUUGGCACUGCAGUGGGAGGCAUAUGUGGAUGACAGUGGCAAUUUGCUUUAGGAUUAAGAUUUUAGCAAAUCCUAAAUUCAGUAAGUCGGGUCACUGAACCGGGUCACACUUGGGCUUGAACCAACAUCUUGUAAUUGGGUUGAUAUUUGUA